UUUGACCUCGGAUCAGGUAGGAAUACCC
rnacentral:rRNA from 1 species